GGCGGGGCCCUACUGUUGUUAAGACGGCCUUAACCAUACAGCGCUGGGGGAAACACUGCAGUUAGAGUUAAACAUUAGUGUUUAGUCCCCAAAUGGCGAUACCACCAGUUCAUGGCUGCGCUCUUUGAUUUUCUCGUUGAUCAGAUUGACCUGGAGAAAGAGCUUACCUUCCAUGGAUGAGGAGCUGGUUGGUCUAAUCACGAGCCGCCUUCGGACCUCCACCGCCGGAUCCCCCAGCCGUCCUCCACCGCCGGGACCGUCUCCUCCAGGACCUCCACCGGGCCAACCGCCUGGACCUCCGCAACGUCGCCUCAUUUCUUCUGAAAUGUGACACACGUUCUAUUUGCACCCCGGACAUUCCUCCCCGUUCAUGAUGCACUGGAGAAGAGCUUAGCUUUACUGGAUGAGGAGCCGCCUCCUCCGGGCCCUCCAGGACGCCGCCGCUGGGCCCUCCAGGCUGACCGCCGCCAGGUGGACGCCACCGCCGGGACCUCCAGGUUGGUCCCAACCACCGCCUCCAGGCCCUCCAGGUUGGUCCCAACCACCGCCUCCAGGCCCUCCAGGUUGGUCCCAACCACCGCCUCCAGGCCCUCCAGGUUGGUCCCCACCACCGCCUCCAGGCCCACCGACUCCAGGACCACCAGGUUGGCCUCCACCUCCAGGCCCGCCGUUGCCUCCAGGAUCUCGGCCGUCUCCAGGCCUUCCAGGUUGGCCGUCUCCAGGCCCUUCUGAAAUGUGAGACACAAGUUCCAGUUGCACACUGGAACAUUUCUCCCCUUUCAUCAUGGAUGCACUGAAGAUGAGUUUAACUUUACUGGAUGAGGAGCCGCCACCUGGCCCUCCA
ensembl:lncRNA